AAAGCUCAAAUUUAAAAUCUGGCAGUUCUAUUGGCUGUCCGAGUUGUAAAUUGGAGAAGUGUUAUCCGCGCUGGCCUGUGCAAAAGUCCCUUGGAAAAGGGCAUCAUAGAGGGUGACAAUCCCGUCUUUGGCACAGAGCACCAGGGCUUUUGUGAUGCACUUUCAACGAGUCGAGUUGUUUGGGAAUGCAGCUCUAAAUGGGUGGUAAAUUCCAUCUAAAGCUAAAUAUUGGCGAGAGACCGAUAGUGCA
rnacentral:rRNA from 1 species